UACGUAGGGUGCAAGCGUUGUCCGGAUUUAUUGGGCGUAAAGAGCUCGUAGGCGGUCUGUCGCGUCGGAUGUGAAAACCCAGGGCUCAACCCUGGGCCUGCAUUCGAUACGGGCAGACUAGAGUAUGGCAGGGGAGACUGGAAUUCCUGGUGUAGCGGUGAAAUGCGCAGAUAUCAGGAGGAACACCGGUGGCGAAGGCGGGUCUCUGGGCCAAAACUGACGCUGAGGGGCGAAAGCGUGGGGAGCGAACAGG
rnacentral:rRNA from 1 species